rnacentral:tRNA from 1 species
AAGAUAAAUAAAAAUGAAAUUUCUAAUUUCUAAUCAGUUUAAAGACUUUUAUCUUA